rnacentral:rRNA from 1 species
UACGGAGGGUGCGAACGUUGCUCGGAAUCAUUGGGCGUAAAGAGCGCGUAGGCGGCCCGGAAAGUCGGAUGUGAAAACCCGGGGCUCAACCCCGGGCCUGCAUCCGAUACUCCCGGGCUGGAGGCAGGUAGGGGAGAUCGGAAUUCCUGGUGUAGCGGUGAAAUGCGCAGAUAUCAGGAGGAACACCGGUGGCGAAGGCGGAUCUCUGGGCCUGUCCUGACGCUGAGGCGCGAAAGCUAGGGGAGCGAACAGG